UGAAAUUCAAUUUAUAUAGAAAAAUGGAUAAUCACUAUAUCUGUCACAAAUAUAUGCGAAUUUAUUAUCCACACAACAGUCAUCUCAGUUACAAGUUACAACUUUUGUUACAAGGUAAAAAGCAUUUGAUUCUGUGCUGUUUUUGGUAUAUCAUUACGAUACAACAACUAUAAGUCAUUCCCAGACAAGUGGGGAUAUAAUGUAUACAAAAUAACAGUACUGACUCAACUAUAUUCGAUUUCAAAG
rnacentral:misc_RNA from 1 species